AUAUAGAGGGAUUGUUUAGGAAUUGAUAUUUCUUGUUGGGAAGAAAAUUGAAUACUUUUCAGCAGUUCCUUUAAUUCUACAUGAUUUAUACUUUUACCAUUGAGUCAAGUAAAAACAAAUUUAAUACUGUUAUUAAUAGGAGUACUUAUAGUAUAAGAUUAUAAAAUCUUACUUCUAAGUUUUCUUAAGUACAGUCAAUUCUUAAUAUCCAUGGUAGGUAUGUUCUGUAAAGUCAUUGCAAACACUUAAUUAACAAACAUAGAACCAUUGUUCCUAGGGGAAAUACAGGGUUAGGUUCCUACAAGCCUCUGAUCACAGCAUUUUCUCAUCAACCAAUCAUUACAUUAAUGUUUAAACGUUUAAAAACAUUUAACAUAUGUUGUUGAUUUACUAACAGUAAACUCAGGGCUGACAGCUUUGUAAGUCAGGCUGCAACAAGCUCAUCUCACAUACAGAUUUCCAGCAUAAGGUACAUUAUAUCCCUCUUGAGUUUAGGAGCACAGGAUGGCACUUUACUGCUGUGCCUGUGGGCCAUUUUAAGCAGUGAAAUCACUAACAAAAAGCACAAAAAUGCAAGAACUUUGGCCCUAAAUGGACUGCACAAAGGACACUUAUUUACUCUGAAACAGGAAGACAGAGCAUUGCUUGUUUGACCUCGGCUGGGAACGUUCAAGUUGUGUGAGUCAACAUUUUUGCUGCUUUGUGCACGUCAGUGAAUACUUAAUUGGAUGUGACGGUCAGAAUUACAAUGCACAUCUUGAACCCCAAGGAUCAGAGACAUUCUCUGAUGACAGAGGAACAGCUGGAAGAAGACUGGGAAUCUAAUUACUUCAGAGUGUAUUAUUUCCACCUUACCGAAUCUGGAAAGGAGGCCAAAGAAGUUGCCGAAGAAGUUGGCAUUUUCAAAGCCAACAGCCCUUUUUCUUCUGCUGCAGAAGCCUUC